CGGGAUGGGCUCACGGCCUAUCAGCUUGUUGGUGGGGUAACGGCCUACCAAGGCGACGACGGGUAGCUGGUCUGAGAGGACGAUCAGCCACACUGGGACUGAGACACGGCCCAGACUCCUACGGGAGGCAGCAGCAGGGAAUUUUGCGCAAUGGGCGAAAGCCUGACGCAGCAACGCCGCGUGGGGGAUGAAGGCCUUCGGGUUGUAAACCCCUUUAGGGAGGGACGAAAUUGACGGUACCUCCAGAAUAAGCCCCGGCCAACUACGUGCCAGCAGCCGCGGUGAUACGUAGGGGGCAAGCGUUGUCCGGAAUCAUUGGGCGUAAAGAGCUCGUAGGCGGCUUAGUAAGUCGGUCGUGAAAUACCGAGGCUCAACCUCGGCACUGCGGUCGAUACUGCUAUGGCUAGAGUUUGGUAGAGGAGAACGGAAUUCCCGGUGUAGCGGUGGAAUGCGCAGAUAUCGGGAGGAACACCUGUAGCGAAGGCGGUUCUCUGGGCCAACACUGACGCUGAGGAGCGAAAGCGUGGGGAGCGAACAGGAUUAGAUACCCUGGUAGUCCACGCUGUAAACGUUGGGUACUAGGUGUGGCGACCCGACCAACGGUUGCCGUGCCGAAGCUAACGCAUUAAGUACCCCGCCUGGGGAGUACGGCCGCAAGGCUAAAACUCAAAGGAAUUGACGGGUCCCCGCACAAGCGGCGGAGCAUGCGGCUUAAUUCGAUGCGACCCGAAGAACCUUACCUGGGUUUGACAUUAUGGGAAAAGCCACAGAGAUGUGGUGUCCGAAAGGGCCCAUAACAGGUGGUGCAUGGCUGCCGUCAGCUCGUGUCGUGAGAUGUUGGGUUAAGUCCCGCAACGAGCGCAACCCUUGUUCUAUGUUACCAGCGAGUUAAGUCGGGGACUCAUAGAAGACUGCC
rnacentral:rRNA from 1 species